rnacentral:rRNA from 1 species
AUCCUGGCUCAGAUUGAACGCUGGCGGCAGGCCUAACACAUGCAAGUCGAACGGUAGCACAGAGAGCUUGCUCUCGGGUGACGAGUGGCGGACGGGUGAGAAAUGUCUGGGAAACUGCCUGAUGGAGGGGGAUAACUACUGGAAACGGUAGCUAAUACCCCAUAACGUCGCAAGACCAAAGAGGGGGACCUUCGGGCCACUUGCCAUCAGAUGUGCCCAGAUGGGGUUAGCUAGUAGGUGGGGUAACGGCUCACCUAGGCGACGAUCCCUAGCUGGUCUGAGAGGAUGACCAGCCACACUGGAACUGAGACACGGAACCAGACUCCUCCGGGAGGCAGCAGUGGGGAAUAUUGCACAAUGGGCGCAAGCCUGAUGCAGCCAUGCCGCGUGUAUGAAGAAGGCCUUCGGGUUGUAAAGUACUUUCAGCGGGGAGGAAGGUGUUGUGGUUAAAAACCGCAGCAAAUGACGUUACCCGCAGAAGAAGCACCGGCUAACUCCGUGCCAGCAGCCGCGGUAAUACGGAGGGUGCAAGCGUUAAUCGGAAUUAUUGGGCUUAAAACCGCACGCAGGCGUUCUGUCAGUCGGAUGUAAAUCCCGGGGCUCAACUUGGAAAUGCAUUAAAAACUGGCAGGUUAGAGUCGGGUAGAGGGGGGUGGAUUUCCAGGUGUAGCGGUGAAAUGCGUAGAGAUCGGGAGGAAUACCGGUGGGGAAGGCGGCCCCUUGGACAAUGAUUGACGCUCAGGUGCGAAAGCGUGGGGAGCAAACAGGAUUAGUUACCUUGGUAGUCCACGCGGUAAAGGAUGUCGAUUUGGAGGUGGAUCCCUUGAGGCGUGGCUUCCGGAGUUAACGCGUUAAGUGGCCCCCCUGGGGAGUACGGCCGCAAGGUUAAAAUUCAAAUGAAUUGACGGGGGCCCGCCCAAGCGGUGGAGCAUGUGGUUUAAUUGGAUGCAACGGGAAGACCCUUACCUACUCUUGACAUCCAGAGAACUUUCCAGAGAUGGAUUGGUCCCUUGGGGAAUUUUGAGCCAGGUGCUGCAUGGCUGUCUUCAGUUCGUGUUGUGAAAUGUUGGGUUAAGUCCCGCAACGAGCGCAACCUUUUUCCUUUGUUGCCAGCGGUUCGGCCGGGAACUCAAAGGAGACUGCCAGUGAUAAACUGGAGGAAGGUGGGGAUGACGUCAAGUCAUCAUGGCCCUUACGAGUAGGGCUACACACGUGCUACAAUGGUGCAUACAAAGAGAAGCCACCUCGCGAGAGCAAGCGGACCUCAUAAAGUGCGUCGUAGUCCGGAUUGGAGUCUGCAACUCGACUCCAUGAAGUCGGAAUCGCUAGUAAUCGUAGAUCAGAAUGCUACGGUGAAUACGUUCCCGGGCCUUGUACACACCGCCCGUCACACCAUGGGAGUGGGUUGCAAAAGAAGUAGGUAGCUAACCUUCGGGAGGC